rnacentral:rRNA from 1 species
CUACGUGCCAGCAGCCGCGGUAAUACGGAGGGUGCGAGCGUUAAUCGGAAUAACUGGGCGUAAAGGGCACGCAGGCGGCUAUUUAAGUGAGGUGUGAAAUCCCCGGGCUUAACCUGGGAAUUGCAUUUCAGACUGGGUAGCUAGAGUACUUUAGGGAGGGGUAGAAUUCCACGUGUAGCGGUGAAAUGCGUAGAGAUGUGGAGGAAUACCGAAGGCGAAGGCAGCCCCUUGGGAAUGUACUGACGCUCAUGUGCGAAAGCGUGGGGAGCAAACAGGAUUAGAUACCCUGGUAGUCCACGCUGUAAACGAUGUCGAUUUGGGGAUUGGGCUUUGAGCUUGGUGCCCGUAGCUAACGUGAUAAAUCGACCGCCUGGGGAGUACGGCCGCAAGGUUAAAACUCAAAUGAAUUGACGGGGGCCCGCACAAGCGGUGGAGCAUGUGGUUUAAUUCGAUGCAACGCGAAGAACCUUACCUACUCUUGACAUCCAUGGAAUCUUGUAGAGAUACGAGAGUGC